rnacentral:tRNA from 1 species
UAUUGAAGAUAUUAAGGUAGUAGUUUUUAUUUUAAAAUAUUAAUAAAACUAAUAGUUUAUCUAUACAA